rnacentral:tRNA from 1 species
GGAAGUCAUCCGGCUGGAUGAGGACACUGUUUUGAAAACAGCUGACGACUGCGUCGUUUGUGGGUUCGAGUCCCACGGCUUCCG